GACGAACGCUGGCGGCGUGCCUAACACAUGCAAGUCGAACGGACAGGCCCUGCUCUUGUGGGGCGCUCGUGUGGCGAACGGGUGAGUAAAACGCGAGUAUCCUGCCCCUGUCUUUGUGAUAUCUCUAGGAGACUGGGGCUCUUACCCGAUAUGAUCUCCUGCUGCACGGUGGGGGUUGGUAAGAUUCGGCGGUUGGGGCUGGUCUCGCGGGUUAUCCGCUUGUUGGUCAGGUUGGUGCUUACCAAGCCUUUGACGCGUAGCCGGCCUUGGAGGGUGACCGGCGACAUUGGGACUGAGAUACGGCCCAGAAUCCUACGGGACGCAGCAGUGGGGAGUAUUGCACAAUGGGCGGAAGCCUGAGACAGAAGCGCUGCGAGCGGGAUGACGUCCUAUGGGUUGUAAACCACUUUCGCAUGUGACAAAGCGUGAGUGACGGUAAUGAGUAAAGAAGCACCGGCUAACUACGUG
rnacentral:rRNA from 1 species